GUAGGGUGGCAAGCGUUGUCCGGAAUUAUUGGGCGUAAAGCGCGCGCAGGCGGUUCUUUAAGUCUGAUGUGAAAGCCCACGGGCUCAACCGUGGAGGGUCAUUGGAAACUGGAGAACUUGAGUACAGAAGAGGAAAGCGGAAUUCCACGUGUAGCGGUGAAAUGCGUAGAGAUGUGGAGGAACACCAGUGGCGAAGGCGGCUUUCUGGUCUGUAACUGACGCUGAGGCGCGAAAGCGUGGGGAGCAAACAGGAUUAGAUACCCUGGUAGUCCACGCCGUAAACGAUGAGUGCUAAGUGUUAGGGGGUUUCCGCCCCUUAGUGCUGCAGCUAACGCAUUAAGCACUCCGCCUGGGGAGUACGGCCGCAAAGGCUG
rnacentral:rRNA from 1 species